CGUAAUCAAUGUAAGAAACGUGAACACUGGUAAACGGUUGUCGCCUUAAUUUUGAAUUGCCUUGAUUUGUGUCUAGCACACUGAAUUUAAUAAACUUAUCAUAGAUACUAGGAUUGAAAUUAUGUAUUUGUACCAGAGGCCCGUUUCGUCUAAGAAAGACUCACCAGUGACGCUCGAAAAGUUAAAAAGGCCAAAUAAAGUACAAAUUUGAAGAG
rnacentral:lncRNA from 1 species